GACGUAGGGCGCGAGCGUUGUCCGGAUUUAUUGGGCGUAAAGAGCUCGUAGGCGGCUUGUCGCGUCGACCGUGAAAACUCGCAGCUCAACUGCGAGCCUGCGGUCGAUACGGGCAGGCUAGAGUUCGGUAGGGGAGACUGGAAUUCCUGGUGUAGCGGUGAAAUGCGUAGAUAUCUGGAGGAACACCGGUGGCGAAGGCGGCAUCCUGGACCGGCAUUGACGCUGAGGAGCGAAAGCCAGGGGAGCAAACGGG
rnacentral:rRNA from 1 species